GAAGAGAAUCGGGUUGGAACGGU
rnacentral:miRNA from 1 species